rnacentral:rRNA from 1 species
UACGAGGGGGGCGAGCGUUGUUCGGAAUUAUUGGGCGUAAAGGGUGCGUAGGCGGUUCCGCAAGUCCUGUGUGAAAUCUUCGGGCUCAACUCGAAGUCUGCACGGGAAACUGCGGGGCUUGAGUGUGGGAGAGGUGAGUGGAAUUCCCGGUGUAGCGGUGAAAUGCGUAGAUAUCAGGAGGAACACCUGUGGUGUAGACAGCUUACUGGACCACUUCUGACGCUGAGACACGAAAGCGUGGGUAGCAAACAGG